AGGAUGAUGAAAGCGGGCCCCUCUAAUGCAAACCGCGCGGGACCGUCCGCUAGCUCACAAGAUUCCACUACAGUGGAUCGGCCGGCUCGUAGGCUCUAUAGACUCACUCUCUUCACAACGAGAGGAGUUUACUACACGUAUGGCCUCCUUUAGCCUUGUCUUAAACGUUGGCUCCGUGGCCCAAAGUGCUCGUCUUUUUUUUCUCCCUGGAACUUUUGAUCCCUUCCGCUCCGUUCGUUCCGAGCUCGCGAGCGAAGUUUUGGCAUGUCAAGUCUCUUUUCUUUCAACUCCGCUUGGUGAUCGCUCAUGGCUAAUAUAGGUAGGUCCAGAGCUAGCUAGU
rnacentral:lncRNA from 1 species